GACAGAGGGUGCAAACGUUGUUCGGAAUUACUGGGCGUAAAGCGUGUGUAGGUGGUUUUGCAAGUCGGGUGUGAAAUCCUAUGGCUCAAUCAUGGAAGUGUAUUCGAAACUGUAGGGUUAGAGUCCUGGAGAGGAAGGUGGAAUGCUUGGUGUAGAGGUGAAAUUCGUAGAUAUCAAUCGGAACACCGGUGGCGAAGGCGGCCUUCUGGACAAUGACUGACGCUGAAACGCGAAAGCGUGGGGAGCAAACAGG
rnacentral:rRNA from 1 species